rnacentral:rRNA from 1 species
AUUGAACGCUGGCGGCAUGCCUUACACAUGCAAGUCGAACGGCAGCACGGGUGCUUGCCCCUGGUGGCGAGUGGCGAACGGGUGAGUAAUACAUCGGAACAUGUCCUGUAGUGGGGGAUAGCCCGGCGAAAGCCGGAUUAAUACCGCAUCCGAUCUACGGAUGAAAGCGGGGGCCCUUCGGGCCUCGCGCUAUCGGGUUGGCCGAUGGCUGAUUAGCUAGUUGGUGGGGUAAAGGCCUACCAAGGCGACGAUCAGUAGCUGGUCUGAGAGGACGACCAGCCACACUGGGACUGAGACACGGCCCAGACUCCUACGGGAGGCAGCAGUGGGGAAUUUUGGACAAUGGGCGAAAGCCUGAUCCAGCAAUGCCGCGUGUGUGAAGAAGGCCUUCGGGUUGUAAAGCACUUUUGUCCGGAAAGAAAUCCUUGGCCCUAAUACGGUCGGGGGAUGACGGUACCGGAAGAAUAAGCACCGGCUAACUACGUG